GACGAACGCUGGCGGCGUGCCUAAUACAUGCAAGUAGAACGCUGAAGGAGGAGCUUGCUUCUCCGGAUGAGUUGCGAACGGGUGAGUAACGCGUAGGUAACCUGCCUGGUAGCGGGGGAUAACUAUUGGAAACGAUAGCAAUUACCGCAUAACAGUAGAGGUGGCAUAACAUUUGCUUAAAAGGUGCAAUUGCAUAACUACCGGAUGACCCUGCGUUGUAUUAGCUAGUUGGUGAGGUAACGGCUCACCAAGGGGACGAUACAUAGCCGACCUGAGAGGGUGAUCGGCCACACUGGGACUGAGACACGGCCCAGACUCCUACGGGAGGCAGCAGUAGGGAAUCUUCGGCAAUGGACGGAAGUCUGACCGAGCAACGCCGCGUGAGUGAAGAAGGUUUUCGGAUCGUAAAGCUCUGUUGUAAGAGAAGAACGAGUGUGAGAGUGGAAAGUUCACACUGUGACGGUAUCUUACCAGAAAGGGACGGCUAACUACGUG
rnacentral:rRNA from 1 species